UGUGCCAGCCGCCGCGGUAAUACGGAGGGUGCAAGCGUUAAUCGGAAUUACUGGCGUAAAGCGCACGCAGGCGGUUUGUUAAGUCAGAUGUGAAAUCCCCGGGCUCAACCUGGGAACUGCAUCUGAUACUGGCAAGCUUGAGUCUCGUAGAGGGGGGUAGAAUUCCAGGUGUAACGGUGAAAUGCGUAGAGAUCUGGAGGAAUACCGAUGGCGAAGGCAGCCCCCUGGGCCAAUACUGACGCUCAUGCACGAAAGCAUGGGGAGCAAACAGGAUUA
rnacentral:rRNA from 1 species